rnacentral:rRNA from 1 species
AGGAGUGGCGAACGGGUGAGUAACACGUGGGUAACCUGCCCAUCAGAAGGGGAUAACACUUGGAAACAGGUGCUAAUACCGUAUAACAAUCGAAACCGCAUGGUUUCGUUUUGAAAGGCGCUUUACGGUGCCGCUGAUGGAUGGACCCGCGGUGCAUUAGCUAGUUGGUGAGGUAACGGCUCACCAAGGCCACGAUGCAUAGCCGACCUGAGAGGGUGAUCGGCCACAUUGGGACUGAGCCACGGUCCAACUCUCUACGGGAGGCAGCAGUAGGGAAUCUUCGGCAAUGGACGAAAGUCUGACCGAGCAACGCCGCGUGAGUGAAGAAGGUUUUCGGAUCGUAAAACUCUGUUGUUAGAGAAGAACAAGGGUGAGAGUAACUGUUCACCCCUUGACGGUAUCUAACCAGAAAGCCACGGCUAACUACGUGCCAGCAGCCGCGGUAAUACGUAGGUGGCAAGCGUUGUCCGGAUUUAUUGGGCGUAAAGCGAGCGCAGGCGGUUUCUUAAGUCUGAUGUGAAAGCCCCCGGCUCAACCGGGGAGGGUCAUUGGAAACUGGGAGACUUGAGUGCAGAAGAGGAGAGUGGAAUUCCAUGUGUAGCGGUGAAAUGCGUAGAUAUAUGGAGGAACACCAGUGGCGAAGGCGGCUCUCUGGUCUGUAACUGACGCUGAGGCUCGAAAGCGUGGGGAGCAAACAGGAUUAGAUACCCUGGUAGUCCACGCCGUAAACGAUGAGUGCUAAGUGUUGGAGGGUUUCCGCCCUUCAGUGCUGCAGCUAACGCAU